GAUGAAGGCAAAAGGUAGACGCAAGGGACUUAAAAUCCCUCGUUGGUUAUCCAACGUGCCGGUUCGAGUCCGGCCCUCGGCA
rnacentral:tRNA from 1 species